UGGUACAGGUUUCCUGGAGAAGCUGUGGAUUCCCCAUCCCUGGAAGUAUCCAAGGCCAGGUUGGAUGGGGUUUGGAGCAACCUGGGCUAGUGGGAGGUGGCCCUGCCCAUGGCAGGGG